rnacentral:miRNA from 1 species
GACGUCGAAUAUCGACGUCAUAAACACCAAAGUUGAUCGUGUUUAUGACGUCGAAUAUCGACGUCAUAAACACCAAAGUUGAUCGUGUUUAUGACGUCGAAUAUCGACGUC